rnacentral:misc_RNA from 1 species
UUUCUCAUUGAUUCUGCUCGAGGUGCAAAUGUCUUCGAUCGAUAAAUUGCGGGGUGUCCAAGAUGAUACGUUGGGAAGGGUGUUACCGAGAUGUUUCUACUACUUGGUUCGUGUUGUUCGAUGUAAUUUGUUACAAGUGCGCGUAAUAAUUACGUGGAAAUAUUAAAUGACGGCUGUUUUCAACAUCGUAGGCGUCGGCACACACGAAUUAUCCUCGGUUCGUUCUACUCCCAUGCUCGUCAGAUUCGAAUUCUUCGAACCUUUCGUGUGAGAAUAUCUUCGAGUGGUUAUUCGUAGAAAGUUAGUUACCGAUCCGCAAAGUGUGCAAUUGAUUUGAGACACCGAGAGAUUUC